ACAGUGGUGGUUCAGUGGUAGAAUUCUUACUUAUUAUGUGGGACACCAGGGUUCUAUUCCUGGCCAGUGUA
rnacentral:tRNA from 1 species